rnacentral:rRNA from 1 species
AUUGAACGCUGGCGGCAGGCCUAACACAUGCAAGUCGAGCGGAGCGGCGGACGGGUGAGGAAGGGCUAGGAAUGUGAAUGGGAGUGGGGGAGGACGUUCGGUAACGGACACUAAUGCCAAUACCUAUCAGAUGAACCUAGGUCGGAUUAGGUAGUGGGUGGGGUAGAGGCAUACCAAGGCGACGAUCCGUAACUGGUCUGAGAGGAUGAGCAGCCACACUGGAACUGAGACACGGUCCAGACUCCUACGGGAGGCAGCAGUGGGGAAUAUUGGACAAUGGGCGAAAGCCUGAUCCAGCCAUGCCGCGUGUGUGAAGAAGGUCUUCGGAUUGUAAAGCACUUUCAGUUGGGAGGCGUUACCCGCAGAAUAAGCACCGGCUAACUUCGUGCCAGCAGCCGCGGUAAUAC